GACCAUCUAGUCCGUACUUUCAAAUAAUGAAACUGAGGCACAGAACAGCUAAACGAUUUACUCAUGGUCACACAGAUGACUAAAUGGUAAUCCUGAUAGGAACCUUCUGAGUUGUGGCUACCUUGGGUUCCUCACCUGGUGCUAGCUGAACUCUGGGAGGAGGCAACUAUCCUAGGACUUCUUGGAGAAGAUGAACACUGGCAGGAAGAUGAGCCCAACAUCUGCUCUGGCUUACCAGAAGAUAUGUAUUUUGAGGGAGCUCCAACAUCAAGUUUCUUCAGGUCCAGUUCUAAUUUGGAAGAACCAGUGCUCUUGAAGUGUUCUCUGCCACAAUCUGCUCUCAUCUUCCCAGAAUUGUCUGUUCAGGCUAGAAUGAUUACAUUGUAUAGGUAUCAAGGUCCAGCUUUUGCUUUCAAUAUCCAACUAAUACCUUGAAUAGAUUGGAGUUGCUUCCAGUCAAUGCUUAUACUUCAGAGAU